rnacentral:rRNA from 1 species
AGAGUUGAUCCUGGCUCAGGAUGAACGCUGGCGGCGUGCCUAACACAUGCAAGUCGAACGAAGCAUAUCAGCCGGAGAUCGUUGAAGGGUGAUAUGACUUAGUGGCGGACGGGUGAGUAAUGUAUGAGCAACCUGCCUUUCAGAGGGGGACAACAGUUGGAAACGACUGCUAAUACCGCAUAAUGUAUUUGGGUGGCAUCACCUGGAUACCAAAGGAGCAAUCCGCUGAAAGAUGGGCUCAUAUCUGAUUAGCUUGUUGGCGGGGUAACGGCCCACCAAGGCGACGAUCAGUAGCCGGACUGAGAGGUUGAACGGCCACAUUGGGACUGAGAUACGGCCCAGACUCCUACGGGAGGCAGCAGUGGGGAAUAUUGGGCAAUGGGCGAAAGCCCUGACCCAGCAACGCCGCGUGAAGGAAGAAGGUCUUCGGAUUGUAAACUUCUUUUAUGAGGGACGAAGGACGUGACGGUACCUCAUGAAUAAGCCACGGCUAACUACGUGCCAGCCGCAGC